UACGUAGGGUGCAAGCGUUGUCCGGAAUCAUUGGGCGUAAAGAGCGUGUAGGCGGCUCGAUUAGUCCGCUGUAAAAGUCCAGGGCUCAACCCUGGGAUGCCGGUGGAAACUGUCGGGCUAGAGUCCGGGAGAGGCGAGUGGAAUUCCUGGUGUAGCGGUGAAAUGCGCAGAUAUCAGGAGGAACACCAAUGGCGAAGGCAGCUCGCUGGAACGGUACUGACGCUGAGACGCGAAAGCCAGGGGAGCAAACGGG
rnacentral:rRNA from 1 species